GUUUCAUCUAAGAAUGUCUGUUCCCAUGGUUGGUCUGCUUGUGAGUGGUAUUUGUUGAUAGGAGAAGAAGGUCUACAGGGAGACAAGGGGCAGAAGUAGGCCAUCAAGAUGCUUUUGAAGAGGUUUUCUGGCGAAAAACUGAUGUUGUCAGGCCCCUUGUCACAGGCCCUGACCCCCUGAACUCAGGAAACUCCUAAAGGUUUCUGCUCAACUGCCAACCUUACUUUUUAGAAACUAGCCAACUGCUGGAACAGAAAAAGAAACAUUUGAGGAAGACUUCUCAGAUUAAUCAG
rnacentral:lncRNA from 1 species